rnacentral:rRNA from 1 species
AGCAGCCGCGGUAAUUCCAGCUCCAAUAGCGUAUAUUAAAGUUGCUGCAGUUAAAAAGCUCGUAGUUGAAUUUCGGGACCGAUAUAUCGGUCGUGCCUCGGUACGUACUGGUAUUUUCGGUUUCUCCCUUCUGACGAACCUUGAUGUCAUUAAUUUGGUGUCUUGGGGAAUCAGGACUGUUACUUUGAAAAAUUAGAGUGUUUAUAGCAGGCUAACGCUUGAAUACAUUAGCAUGGAAUAAUGAAAUAGGACGUUCGACCCUAUUUUGUUGGUUUCUAGGAUCGACGUAAUGAUUAAUAGGGAUAGUUGGGGGCAUUAGUAUUCAAUUGUCAGAGGUGAAAUUCUUGGAUUUAUUGAAGACUAACUACUGCGAAAGCAUUUGCCAAGGAUGUUUUCAUUAAUCAAGAACGAAAGUUAGGGGAUCGAAGACGAUCAGAUACCGUCGUAGUCUUAACCAUAAACUAUGCCGACUAGGGAUCGGAUGAUGUUAAUUUUUUAAUGACUCAUUCGGCGCCUUAGG